rnacentral:rRNA from 1 species
GACGAACCGUGCGAACGUUGUUCGGAUUCACUGGGCUUAAAGGGCGCGUAGGCGGACGGUCAAGUCGGGGGUGAAAUCUUUCAGCUUAACUGGAAAAGUGCCUCCGAUACUGAUCGUCUCGAGGGAGGUAGGGGCAUGUGGAACUUCCGGUGGAGCGGUGAAAUGCGUAGAGAUCGGAAAGACCACCAACGGCGAAAGCACUCUGCUGGGCCGACACUGACACUGAGAGACGAAAGCUAGGGGAGCGAAUGGG